AACUAAUGAUUUGGGCAUUGAAUCAAGUUAUUAUUUAAUGGUUUCCAAGCGUCAUAUAAUGGUUCACCAUUAAGUUUGCCAAAAUUAAUUAUUUCAUCCCUUAGUU
rfam:Capsicum annuum cultivar Zunla-1 chromosome 6, whole genome shotgun sequence